rnacentral:lncRNA from 1 species
GAACUGCAUCGUGUUUGAUUUAAACUGUAUUAAUUUGCUGAUCCUAUCUGCUGUAGGGCUACCCAGGUUUGCCGGGAGGUCCAGGUGAAUUGGGUCCACUGGGUCCACCUGGUCCACAGGGUCCGAGGGGUGCUGCCGGGGUUUCUGGGCCUAAAGGAAGAAGGGGGCCGAGAGGACCUGACGGACCUGCGGGAGAGCCGGGACCAGAGGGUGGCAAGGUGACCUCUUACAUCACACUAAACUCCACCCCUUUAAUCGUGAACAAUUGU